rnacentral:sRNA from 1 species
AAACCUAAGUACUGAAUCAUUAUUAGAAGAUAUAAAGACAAAGACUCAUACGGACUUCGACUACACUGACAAAGCUUUGAGAAGCAAGAAAAAGCUUGGUUAGUGUUUUGGAUUCUAAUAUGACUUGAUGCCAUGUGUAUGACUCAAUAUAAAAACUAGAACCGCAACAGAUCUUAAAAGCAUAAGUAUUGUAUCAUUGUUAGAAGAUACAAUGACGAAGACUCAUAUGGACUUCGGCUACACCAUCAAAGCUUUGAGAAGCAAGAAGCAGCUUGGUUAGUGGUUCGGAGUCGAAUAUAACUUGAUGUCAUGUGUAUGAGUGAGUAUAAAAACUAGAACCGCAACGGAUCUUAAAAGCCUAAAUAUUGUAUCCUUGUUAGAAGAUACAUAGACAAAGACUCAUACGGAAUUUGGCUAAACCAUCAAAGCUUUUAGAAGCAAGAAGAAGCUUGGUUAGUGUUUUGGAGUGAAAUAUGACUAGAUGUCAUGUGUAUGGUG